AGUGAACGCUGGCGGUAGGCCUAACACAUGCAAGUCGAACGGCAGCACAGUAAGAGCUUGCUCUUACGGGUGGCGAGUGGCGGACGGGUGAGGAGUACAUCGGAAUCUACUUUUUCGUGGGGGAUAACGUAGGGAAACUUACGCUAAUACCGCAUACGACCUACGGGUGAAAGCAGGGGAUCUUCGGACCUUGCGCGAUUGAAUGAGCCGAUGUCCGAUUAGCUAGUUGGCGGGGUAAAGGCCCACCAAGGCGACGAUCCGUAGCUGGUCUGAGAGGAUGAUCAGCCACACUGGAACUGAGACACGGUCCAGACUCCUACGGGAGGCAGAAGUGGGGAAUAUUGGACAAUGGGCGCAAGCCUGAUCCAGCCAUACCGCGUGGGUGAAGAAGGCCUUCGGGUUGUAAAGCCCUUUUGUUGGGAAAGAAAAGCAGCAGGUUAAUACCCCGCUGUUCUGACGGUACCCAAAGAAUAAGCACCGGCGAACUUCGU
rnacentral:rRNA from 1 species